rnacentral:pre_miRNA from 1 species
AGGAGGAACAGCCCCAGUGGCGGGGCAGCUCUGGAACCCUGGAUUCAGCUCCGGCAGGAACUCCGUCUGCAGGGCCUGGAGGCUCCGGGGCGGG